rnacentral:rRNA from 1 species
CUGGCUCAGGAUGAACGCUGGCGGCGUGCCUAAUACAUGCAAGUCGAGCGAACAGAUGAGGAGCUUGCUCCUUUGACGUUAGCGGCGGACGGGUGAGUAACACGUGGGUAACCUACCUAUAAGACUGGAAUAACUCCGGGAAACCGGGGCUAAUGCCGGAUAACAUGUUGAACCGCAUGGUUCAACAGUGAAAGACGGUCUUGCUGUCACUUAUAGAUGGACCCGCGCCGUAUUAGCUAGUUGGUAAGGUAACGGCUUACCAAGGCGACGAUACGUAGCCGACCUGAGAGGGUGAUCGGCCACACUGGAACUGAGACACGGUCCAGACUCCUACGGGAGGCAGCAGUAGGGAAUCUUCCGCAAUGGGCGAAAGCCUGACGGAGCAACGCCGCGUGAGUGAUGAAGGUCUUCGGAUCGUAAAGCUCUGUUGUUAGGGAAGAACAUAUGUGUAAGUAACUGUGCACAUCUUGACGGUACCUAACCAGAAAGCCACGGCUAACUACGUGCCAGCAGCCGCGGU